rnacentral:misc_RNA from 1 species
GAGUUCUUCUACUGCUUCUGAUGAGUUGGGACCGAAUAAACAUAUAUGUGAACCUCAAUUAAUUGGACCAAUAAAAGAUUUGAAAAACCUCGGCUAGUUAUUAUAACAUGAACCAUAGACAGGGCAGGGAAUGGUGGAGGGGCAAAAUUGAGACAUAAAAAUUGAUGAGGUUAGUAUCGGUAAUGGUAUAGAGCUGGCUGCUACAAAGCCCAGAUGAAGAAGAAGAAGAAGAAG